rnacentral:rRNA from 1 species
GUACACACCGCCCGUCACACCAUGAGAGUUGGGAAUACCCGAAGCCUGUGAGCUAACAUAUGAGGCAGCAGUCGAAGGUAGAAUCAAUGAUUGGGGUGAAGUCGUAACAAGGUACC